AACCAUGGAAACAGCAAGGUUGUAGUAAUUCAUGCACAUGGAGGCCUGCUACAGCACCCCAACACACGCAUUCAAAUCUAAAAUUCCCAUUGCUUUUAUCAGUGGAUGCUUGGAUGUUUCUGCUGGAUAGUGCUUCCACUGCUGAAUCAUGCUUGGUGACGACAGACACUCUCUGAACUGGAUUGAUGGUAUCCUGACACUACUGAACUGGACUGCUGCUAUUCUGACAAUAGAGAUUGGAAUCACCCCAAAGGACUACUUCUAAAUAGGUCCUCAUCUGCUUGUCCUAUUUACCCUUUCUCCUACCCUGCCUUUGGACAGUAGGAUCGAAAGGAGAAUCACAGCAUGUGAGAACCCUUAUUAAAGUUGGUUUUGAAAAAUCUAAA